rnacentral:tRNA from 1 species
GUGAAGAGAGCUAGGCAGGUUUAGCUUCAGUUUGUGAUUCUGAAAUUCAUGGGUUCGAAUCCCAUUCUUCGCCC